rnacentral:rRNA from 1 species
CAGUCGCCGCGGUAAUACGGAGGGAGCUAGCGUUGUUCGGAAUUACUGGGCGUAAAGCGCGCGUAGGCGGUACUCAAGUCAGAGGUGAAAGCCCGGGGCUCAACCCCGGAACUGCCUUUGAAACUAGGUGACUAGAAUCUUGGAGAGGUCAGUGGAAUUCCGAGUGUAGAGGUGAAAUUCGUAGAUAUUCGGAAGAACACCAGUGGCGAAGGCGACUGACUGGACAAGUAUUGACGCUGAGGUGCGAAAGCGUGGGGAGCAAACAGGAUUAGAUACCCCCGUAGUCCCUGUCUCUUAUACA